GGAAGUGUAGCUCAGUUGGUUAGAGCAUCCGACUUUUAAUCGGAUGGUCCUGGGUUCGAGUCCCAGCACUUCCA
rfam:Rhodopirellula sp. SWK7 cSWK70039, whole genome shotgun sequence.